rnacentral:rRNA from 1 species
UGAGGAAUAUUGGUCAAUGGGCGCAAGCCUGAACCAGCCAUGCCGCGUGCAGGAUGACGGUCCUAUGGAUUGUAAACUGCUUUUGUACAGGAAGAAACACUCCCUCGUGAGGGAGCUUGACGGUACUGUAAGAAUAAGGAUCGGCUAACUCCGUG